UGAGGCCUACGGGACGCAGCAGUGGGGAAUAUUGCACAAUGGGCGAAAGCCUGAUGCAGCAACGCCGCGUGAAGGAAGAAGGCCUUCGGGUCGUAAACUUCUGUCCUUGGGGAAGAAGAACUGACGGUACCCAAGGAGGAAGCCCCGGCUAACUACGUGCCAGCAGCCGCGGUAAUACGUAGGGGGCAAGCGUUAUCCGGAUUUACUGGGUGUAAAGGGAGCGUAGACGGCCGUGCAAGUCUGAUGUGAAAACCCGGGGCUCAACCCCGGGACUGCAUCGGAAACUGCAUGGCUGGAGUGUCGGG
rnacentral:rRNA from 1 species